CGGGGCCGCAGCACUCCGGCUCUCGGCUGCGCUGGGGGCUGCCUGGCGCUGUCCCUCCCCAAUUCCUCCCCCCGCGGAAGGAAGCCACGCCCCCACGAGGCCACGCCCUCCACGUCAGGUCGUUGGGUACCCGCCGUCCACCGUGAGUAAGCAGGUUGCCACACUACCGGCUAACCGGGAAAACCGCAGACCUAGCAAUGUAUGACAGCAUCCGGUGACCGGAUAUAGAACAUACUAGGCGACCCUCGGCAUCCGCCCUCUGACUAUCCAUGGACCCAAGACUCCCGCAGCCGCCCCUGAGAAGCAACCAGGAAGACAUCAAAGGCCACGGACCGGAUUCCCAAGGGUCUGCCGAAAGCCUUACAACAGACUACAGAGUUGGGGUGCUGGAAGACGGAGUGUUACCCCUAAACCUAUGACCUACCACCAAGUCUAAUCCCCAGGUGCUCCCUCCCACCACUCUGUCUCACCGACCCUAUAACUCAUUAAUAAAUAAUCCAGAUAUCUGUGUUA